UGGGGAAUAUUGGGCAAUGGGCGCAAGCCUGACCCAGCAACGCCGCGUGAGGGAAGAAGGUCUUCGGAUUGUAAACCUCUGUCGCAAGGGACGAAGGCGUGACGGUACCUUGUGAGGAAGCCCCGGCUAACUACGUGCCAGCAGCCGCGGUAAUACGUAGGGGGCGAGCGUUGUCCGGAAUUACUGGGCGUAAAGGGUGCGUAGGCGGUUGCUUAAGUUGGAUGUGAAAUACCCGGGCUUAACUUGGGGGGUGCAUUCAAAACUGGGCGACUAGAGUUCAGGAGAGGGAAGCGGAAUUCCUAGUGUAGCGGUGAAAUGCGUAGAUAUUAGGAGGAACACCAGUGGCGAAGGCGGCUUUCUGGACUGACACUGACGCUGAGGCACGAAAGCGUGGGGAGCAAACA
rnacentral:rRNA from 1 species